AUGCGCAUCCAUCGAGACGGCACACAACGAAUCAAAUCGUUGAGUGGCCGGCAAAGAGAACAGAGAAAUUCAACGAAAUAAGUAGUUGACUCUGAAUGAGGAAAGCGUAAUAUGCGCACCUCGCGUUACCA
rnacentral:rRNA from 1 species